GACGAACGCUGGCGGCGUGCUUAACACAUGCAAGUCGAACGGUAAGGCCCUUCGGGGUACACGAGUGGCGAACGGGUGAGUAACACGUGGGUGAUCUGCCCUGCACUUCGGGAUAAGCCUGGGAAACUGGGUCUAAUACCGGAUAGGACCACUGCCUGCAUGGGUGGCGGUGGAAAGCUUUUGCGGUGUGGGAUGGGCCCGCGGCCUAUCAGCUUGUUGGUGGGGUGAUGGCGUACCAAGGCGACGACGGGUAGCCGGCCUGAGAGGGUGACCGGCCACACUGGGACUGAGAUACGGCCCAGACUCCUACGGGAGGCAGCAGUGGGGAAUAUUGCACAAUGGGCGCAAGCCUGAUGCAGCGACGCCGCGUGAGGGAUGACGGCCUUCGGGUUGUAAACCUCUUUCAGCACCGACGAAGCGCAAGUGACGGUAGGUGCAGAAGAAGGACCGGCCAACUACGUGCCAGCCGCCGCAGUAA
rnacentral:rRNA from 1 species